UUUUUCAUUAUCACAUGUCUUUCUUUUGAGAUUUUUAAAUUUUUCUCAACAUAAAACUUGAAGUAGACACAAUAAGAUUUCCAAUGCAUUUUGUCCCACCUCAAAAUCAUAAAAAAUGAAUGAUUUAUGUUGUUGGGAAGUUGACCCAAAAUUAGGGUUUCAGUCAAAAUGACCUAUAAUGUCUUGGAAUGGAUGAUGAUCUUCCAAGCCUCAAAUGGAUUUUUGAUGAACA
rnacentral:lncRNA from 1 species